AUUGAACGCUGGCGGCAUGCCUUACACAUGCAAGUCGAACGGCAGCGCGGGGCAACCUGGCGGCGAGUGGCGAACGGGUGAGUAAUAUAUCGGAACGUACCCUGGAGUGGGGGAUAACGUAGCGAAAGUUACGCUAAUACCGCAUACGAUCUAAGGAUGAAAGUGGGGGAUCGCAAGACCUCAUGCUCCUGGAGCGGCCGAUAUCUGAUUAGCUAGUUGGUGGGGUAAAGGCCUACCAAGGCACACAGGGGGAUAGG
rnacentral:rRNA from 1 species